rnacentral:rRNA from 1 species
AACGAACGCUGGCGGCAUGCCUAACACAUGCAAGUCGAACGAGACCUUCGGGUCUGGUGGCGCACGGGUGCGUGGCGGGUGGGGACCUGCCCUUAGGUUCGCCAUAACUCCCCGAAUGGGGUGCUAAUACGGGCUCAUGUCUUCCGACCAAAGAUUUAUCGCCCUUGGGUGGGCCGGCGUUGGAUUACCUGGUUGUUAGGGUAAAAGGCUCCCACAGCGACGAUCCGUAGCUGGUCAGAGAGGCAGCGCAGCGACACUGGGCCGGAGAAACGGCCCGGACUCUUACGGGAGGGGGGAGUGGGGGAUCUUGGACAGUGGGGGGAGGGCUGAUGGAGCAAGGACGCGUGAGUGAUGAAGGCCGUAGGGUUGUAAAGUUCUUUUACCCGGGAUGGUAAUGACAGUACCGGGAGAAUAAGCACCGGCUAACUCCGUG